GAUUGAAACUUAUGAAGAGCUUGAAGGAGUUAACUGAUGAGUAGACAUUACAACAUUUCUUAUAUUUGCAAGAUGAAGCUGAAAUUCCCAUGCAGGAUGAUGCUUCUCUACAGUGGAGGAUGAAGGCAUGCUGAUUACAAACCCAGCAGAGGAACAAAGAACAGAUAUUGGCAGAAUCACUAUAUCUAGAGAUGCGGGCCUACUACACUUCAUACGAGCAAGUGUGCUAAUAUACAAUACUUGGGUUAUCGUUACAGCCCUUUCUUCUGAAAACUAGGCUACAACUUUAUUGAUGAAUGCAAGAGACAUCUACAUGGGACUACGUCUUGAAGAUGCCACCCUCAUAUAAUGAAAGAGGACAGUAGAGAUGGGUUUAAACUUGAAUAUUUACAUGAUAUUUAUUUAUUAUUUGUAUUAUAUGUUUGUAGAAUACCACAUUCAAUAAAGCUAAUGAAUUUAUCAUCAUGUCAACUUUCAAAUGAUCAAAGAUAACUAAUCAUCAAUGAAUAAACAUUAACAUUUUAAUAAUGUCAACUACCAUCUUAUGGGAGGACUGGGCCGAAAGAUUCUCCUUGAAAUUUGAGUGAUAAAGAUCUACCAGUCUAUAUCAAAGAUUGAAUAAUUAAUGAUAUUUUAAUUAUAAUUAUACAUGUUGAAAUUCAUUUACCUCUAUGGACUUCUGUAUUUUAGAGGAUUUGUAGAGUAUUACAUUAUUGCAGUAUAAUGCUGCUUCAAGUAUUGUAUGUAAGAAGGUUUGAAAGUCAACCCUCUAAAUGCAUUAAAUAUAGAAAGACAUAGA